rnacentral:lncRNA from 1 species
UGUAAACAUGGAUUUAACAAUUCUCACCAAGCAAGUGUUUCACUCAAUCACUCAAGUGUUUUAGGAGGUCACUAUAUUCUCUGUUGUUCACAUGUCACAUAAAACAAUAUUGGCAUUCAUCUAAAACAAUCAAAAUCUUCACAUGCAAAUGUCAUCACAAGGACUUUCUGGAAUACAAAAUCCUUGAGUUAAGAGAGUUUUAGAUUAUUCAGAGUUCAAGCAUACUCUCCUUUUAAACAAUCUCACUCAUUCCCAACUUCUUCCCUUUUUCCUUUUUACAUUGAGUUCACUUUACAUGCUUUUUCUCUUUUCUUCUUUCCUUUUUCUUUCUCAUGCAUUUUUCUUUUUCAUCUUUUGAACUCAAUGUUUUUUCUUUUGCCUUUUACUUUCCCCAUACAACCCCAAACUUCAACCUUUUCAUCACAUACAAUUAUUCUCAACCCAACUCAAGGUAAUUCA